rnacentral:rRNA from 1 species
UACAGGGGGGGCAAGCGUUGUUCGGAAUUACUGGGCGUAAAGGGCCAGUAGGCGGCCAACUAAGUCCGACGUGAAAUCCCCAGGCUUAACCUGGGAACUGCGUCGGAUACUGGAUGGCUUGAAUUCGGGAGAGGGAUGCAGAAUUCCAGGUGUAGCGGUGAAAUGCGUAGAUAUCUGGAGGAAUACCGGUGGCGAAGGCGGCAUCCUGGACCGAUACUGACGCUGAGGAGCGAAAGCGUGGGGAGCGAACAGG